GAUGAACGCUGGCGGCGUGCCUAAUACAUGCAAGUCGAGCGAACAGACGAGGAGCUUGCUCCUCUGACGUUAGCGGCGGACGGGUGAGUAACACGUGGAUAACCUACCUAUAAGACUGGGAUAACUUCGGGAAACCGGAGCUAAUACCGGAUAAUAUAUUGAACCGCAUGGUUCAAUAGUGAAAGACGGUUUUGCUGUCACUUAUAGAUGGAUCCGCGCCGCAUUAGCUAGUUGGUAAGGUAACGGCUUAACAAGGCAACGAUGCGUAGCCGACCUGAGAGGCUGAUCGGCCCCCCUAGACCUUGAACACGUACCAGACUCCUACGGGAGGCAGCAGUAGGGAAUCUUCCGCAAUGGGCGAAAGCCUGACGGAGCAACGCCGCGUGAGUGAUGAAGGUCUUCGGAUCGUAAAACUCUGUUAUUAGGGAAGAACAAAUGUGUAAGUACCUAUACACGUCUUGACGUUACCUAAUCAGAAAGCCACGGCUAACUACGUG
rnacentral:rRNA from 1 species